GGUCCGCUGGCGUAAUGGCAGCGCGUCUGACUACGAUGAUUUCAAAGUAAUCAGGAGGUUCCAGGUUCGACCCCUGGGCGGAUCG